rnacentral:lncRNA from 1 species
GGACCCCCCCCCUUCCCGGCCCGCCCCCGCCGUAGGCCGUACUCAGCAGGCCCGGCCCUGCGGCCUACCCCGAACGGAGACCCCGGCCCGGCCGUGCGGCCUACCCCGACCCCGACCCCGACCCGGUCCUGCGACCUACCUCGAACCGAGGGCCCGGCCCGGCCUGGCCGCCCCUCCUCCCCCGCCCCGGGCCCUCUCGCCCCUCCGUACCGGGGAAGGCCGCGGGGGGGCGGAGCGGGGCUGCAGGGAACGGCGGAAUCGAUCGCAGCGCCGGAACCGGGAGGCGGAGGCCGAGGGGCUGCGGGGCUGCACCGGGGCGAACCCCCUCCCAACCCCCCCCCCCUCCGCAUCCCACCCCGCUGGGGGUGUCGGGGCGCGGGGCUGCACCCCAUGGAGGGGAAGUUCCUCCAGCCGAAGAUGGGGGCGACUUCGGGUUCACUGUAGUGGAGCAUUUUCACUUCCGAGUCGCUCAGCCCAAAGUCCCACAUGUAGACGUCGGACAUCUCCCCCGUGAAGGACUGCAGAACGUCGAAGCCUCCCCCGUAGGCGUCCUGCUCCUGCCCCAGCACCACCACGGCCUCGUUGCCCACCACGUAGCCCUUCUGCAGCCCUUUGCGGGGCCACGGGCGCCCGUUGAGCCAGAAGCGCACGAUGCCGCUGGGUGACUCCCAGGUGACGCAGACGUGCUCUGGGUCCAUAUAGUUCUCGGGGAUGUGGAAGGCGACGUAUUUCCCCCCCACGUAGAAGUGGUACUCGGUGGGUUUGAAUUUGAGGAGGAGGAUCUCGUUGUCCUGCUCCUUGGUGGCGUAGGAGAAGAGGCUGUGGGGCCGGGUGAGGUCGGUGUAGGAGCGCAGGCACACGGUGAAGUUGAGCAGGGGGUGCUCUGGCCGUGCCUGCAGCAGCACGUAGGAAUCGUUGGACGCUUGGGGGAACACGAACACUCUGUACUUCAGGUCUGGGAGAGAGAGGCUGCAGAGCCCCACGAGGAAGGAGAGGAGGCAGAAGCGUGGCGUCCCCAUGACCCCACCUCAGUGACAAUGGCAGAGGCACCGCUCCAGGGGACUUCCCAGAAGGAAGGCACUCCCACCUGAUUUUCUCCCUGGACUGCGAGGGCACUGACCCACGUGUCGCUGUGUGGACAUUGGCCCCGCAUCCCACAGGUGGACGUCCGCCAUCUCCCCCGUGAACGAGUUGUAGACGUCGAAGCCUCCCCCGUAGGCGUCCUGCUCCUGCCCCAGCAUCACCACGGCCUCGUUGCCCACCUCGUAGCCCUUCUGCAGCCCUUUGCGGGGCCACGGGCGCCCGUUGAGCCAGAACUCGGCGAUGCCGCUGCCCGACUCCCAGCUGGCGCAGACGUGUUCCCAUUCCCCGCGGUUCUCGGGGACGCGGAAGAAGGCAGUGAGGAGCAGCACGAGGGGCGCGAGGCAGCAGUGCAGCCCCCCCAGCGCCGUGCUCAGCCCCAGCGCGAAAUCAAAGCUCUCAAAGGCACUGCAGGUGAGCGGCAUCACCCCCACCUCCAGCAGGAGCUCCACCACCACCACCACCCCAUAGGGUGCCCACAACCCCCAGAACAGCCACCCCACCCCGCGCCCCAUCGCACCCCGCAUCCCCCUCAGCACCGCAGCCGUCAGCAGCGCUCCGGGCAGCAGCAGAAGGACGCAGCAACACACGGUGAGCUGCAGCAGAUGCACAGCAGAGUCCACAUCCACGUUGCGCUGCACGCACUGCGCGCUCAGCCCCGUCCCCGCGGUGCCACCGCUCAGCGCCGCCGGCACCGCCAUCACCACCGCCGCCACCCAAAGGACCGCCUCCACGCACCAACCUCGGCCCCGCACACCGAACCCCCCGGCACCCAGCAGCAGCCCCUGUGCCAACACGCUGCCGUGCUGCAGCAGCAGCACAGCCCUGCACGGCCCCUCGCCCGCCCGCCACCCCCACGCGAUGCCCGCGGCCGUCGGCGGCAGGGUGAUGGCGAACAGCCCGCAGCACGCGGCCAGUUGGGCCACCAACGCGCGGCCACGGGGCCAGGCGUGGGGACGCAGGGCCAGGGCCAGCAGCAGGGCAGCCGUGGCCACGAGGGCGGUGGCAGCGGUGGCGGCCAGGAAGGGCGGUGCGGCGCGGUAGAAGAAGGGGCAGUAGCGGUUGUGGCACGGCUCUGCGGCCACAAAGUCCUCAUAGUUGCUGUCCGUGUCGUCGUCUGUGUAGCCCUCAUCGUAGAUGGAGUUGAAGAGGUCCACGAGGAACGAGGAGGUUCUGUUCACCACGAUUUCAGGGCUCUGUGAAGGACAGGAGGUGCCGUGUGCUGCGGGGUGACGCUGAGUUGGCCCCUCCGGUGGCCACGUGCCGCGCUUUAUCAGGGAGGGACAGUGUGGGGAGUGCUGAUAUCUCAGGGUGUGGUUUCAUCCCAAGCCAAGAAAACCCGUUUUCUUGCACUCAGUGGUGUUUUCCAGUUCCAGGACUCGUUGCUAUGCACCCCUCCCUGGGGGGGAGGUGGUGUUGGGUACCCUAUGGGGUCAGGGUUGGGUACCCAAUGGGAGUGGGGUUG